ACUGAACUUUUUUUGUAUAAGCUGACAGAUUUGUUGCUUAAUGCAUUUCCAAGGCCUGCAAGCAUCAAUGGUGGCUGGUUGCUAUACAAGUCUACAGGUGGUGGUGGGCAGCGCAGAUUAGUUGUUAUUCCUCCUGAUUCUGAUGGUUAUAGUGGGCACCAACUGAAGACCGUUAGUGGAAAUGGAAAAUGUACACUGUACAUAACUCCUCUACAGGAACAAAUUGAAACUUCUCCAUUACCACCAGAUGCAAAAGAAUUUGAAAACAUGCCUAAAGCUCCAUGCACCACCUGCAACAACAUGGUACCACUCCAAGCUCUUCCGUUUCACAUCAAGAGCUGCAAAGAGGAAAUGAUUUAUCUCAGCAGCUCCCCUGAGAAUGAAAGCUUCACUCAGGACAAUGAAUCUCCAUUAAGGACAAAACAUCAGACAGAGAUGACUACUGAGUGUCCAGUGUGCGGAGGUAUAUUCAGCACUGAUGCCAUUGAGACCCAUGCAUCAGACUGUGGAAUACGAUCUUCAAACCAAGAAUGCAAUAUAAGCACCUGAGAGGAUGAGAGUAACUACUUUCAAAGCUCAGAGGAAAUCUUGAACUGGAUCAGCGGCCAAGUGGACGACAGCUGCACAUUUUCCCUUUGUGUGUCAAGAUUUGAUCUCUUUAGUAGAGGAAUGCAACAGUGGCAAUGCCAGA